rnacentral:lncRNA from 1 species
UGGAAUAUAAUUAAAUUUUUAUAAUCUACAAAUGUUUCUCCCCAAACUUACAAUUACAAGAACAAGGGAAAAGUUACAUAGUCUAUGACCCUGGCGCAAACUUGGUGGCAUAGACCCAGGCAUUGUUAGCCACAGGAUUGUCCAAAUGGUCCAAUAGGUUCUCCAAUGGCCCCUUCCCUGUAACAAUAGCUUGAACAAAAAACCCAAACAUGGAGAACAUUGCGAGCCUUCCAUUCUUGAUCUCCUUCACCUUCAACUCAGCAAAUGUCACCGGGUCAUCCGCGAGCCCCAACGGGUCAAAAUAUUGGCCACCGGGGUAAAGGUUGUUACCGUCUCCAACGCCUUCAAGACCGUUGAUGCGGAACCCCUCAACAAGACCCAUCAACACCACCUGGAAUCCGAGCACCGCCAGUAUGCUUUGAGCAUGGACAAGGUUCGGGUUUCCUAAGUAGUCCAGACCACCUUCGGAGAAAAUCUGGGCUCCGGCCUUGAACCAGACUGGCUCCUUGAAAUCAACUUUCACCCACUUUUGGAGAACCUCCGGCGUGAUACAUCCGAAUG